rnacentral:tRNA from 1 species
GGCUCAUGGUCCAGUGGUGGAACAUUUGGUUUGUGAACACAAGGUCCUAGGUUCAGUCCCUGGCAUCACCA